UGAGGAAUAUUGGUCAAUGGGCGGGAGCCUGAACCAGCCAAGUCGCGUGAGGGAAGACGGUCCUAUGGAUUGUAAACCUCUUUUGUCGGGGAGCAAAGAGGCCACGUGUGGUCAAAAGCGAGAGUACCCGAAGAAAAAGCAUCGGCUAACUCCGUGC
rnacentral:rRNA from 1 species